rnacentral:lncRNA from 1 species
ACCCAGAAAUAUGUCUGGUGACAUCUAGAACGUCAGAAAACUAUUAGGCAAUCCAAACCACGUGACCUCUGGUUGGCACACAAACUAAAGAAGAGGUUAUGUUUGUAUCUAUUUUUCAAUGAUUUUUCAUUGUUUAUCGUCGUAUUUUGGAUUCAUUUGGAUUUCGUUUCCUGUUUUUGUGAACUUUAUAAACUUUACCACAAUGCGAACUGAUUAUUUAAGGAAAUUAUUAUUGGAAACUCCAGAUGUUGCGAGAAAGAUAUUUAUUGAAGCUGAAAAUAAUUUAGGAUUUAGAUCCAUACGGAAUUCAGUCAGAAUUGGAUUUUACAGUAAAGUGCAGUCCAUCAAGUUACUAUUAUAGAUAUGUAUUUAUACAGAUCUGGUGGAGUCUCACAGUUGCUACUCUAAGCAGCAGAUGAAAGCAUACAAAAGCCUUCAGGCACAUAAAUAUUUUACAGCUGGAUUUGUUUUGAAUGGAGUAAAAAUUGUUAAUGAUUUCCUGAUUUCCAUAUUAUUGUUGGAAAGGUGAAGCAUUUCCAAAAAGCUAAUGCUAAACGACUAAAUGCUUGGGUGGGGUGAUAGCCAGUUCUGAUGACAUAGCAAAUGCACAUUGUAUGCGUAUGGCUGGUAAUAGUGAAGUCUGCAGCCAUAUUGCAGCAAUCCUAUUUUUAGCUGAGUAUGCCCAGAGCAAGACAGACGAAGAAGAACCCAAUGCAUGUACAUAUGUUACAGCUACAUGGUUUGGAGAUAGCAACAUAUGCAUUCUCUGAUGAAAAACUAAUGAGUUUUGAAACUGUUCGGUCAGAGUGCUUGUUGCGCUCACUAAACGAACUGAAAUAUAAGAAGUCUUUGGCAUUGUGUUGCAGCGAUAUGAAAAUGGUUAUUCAUUUUUAAUUAUAAUGUACUUCUUCAUCAUGAGUAAUUAUGUAUUGGUCUUUUAGAUGUGUAUUUAUUUUUGUAAUUAGUAUCAACUUGUAAUGAUAAUAUACAUUUAUCGUUUAAGGUACGACUAUGUUUUGACUCUAAAAUAAAUGUUUUAAAAAUCGAA